rnacentral:lncRNA from 1 species
GUCACUAGAGAAAGACAGGAAGAUCUGUGUAUUAGAAAAAUGGAUAGGCAGCAUGUGUAGAUUUCAAAACUUUAAAAAUGGAUAGUAAAAAAUAAAAUGAGUUAAACCCUUUAACCCCAUAUGCUAGAUACCAGACUAAACCUAUCCAAGCCCCGAAAAAGCACAUAUUAUCAAUCUAAAAUUUAGAAAAAUUUUAUGAGAUCAGAUCUCAUUACCUUUGUGCGGCAAAAAAUUCACCACUAUGAUGAUCUCAGAUUCAU